GUAUAGCUCAGUGGUAGAGCACAUGCCUAGCAUGCAUGAGGUCCUGGGUUCAAUCCCCAGUGC
rnacentral:tRNA from 1 species